CCCAGGAAAAAGAGCUGUGAUGGCUGCAGUGAUGAGCCCGAGGAAUGUUGCUGGCAUUGAGAGCUCUCCGCUGUGUCACACAUUCCUGUGUUUUGCAGUCACAUUAAGAUCUGAAGGAAUUAGCCCCAGGAAAGCUCGGAGUUUAUUUCAGGUGGGUAAACUCUGUUUUCUGGUCUUUUGGUCAGCGGUGGGAAACAUUCAUAGUGAUUUAAGAAAAGAUCAACAGGCUAGAUAAGAAUUUGUUAUCUUCCAGAUGGCAGGUUCCAAAAGCAGAGAAGAGUGCGGCUUCUGUCAGGUGUGGGCCAGGAAUUACCAAGAAAUUUAACUCCGUUCCAAAAAUGUUAACCAUAUUGUUCACGCUCAGCAGCGAGGGGGCCUGUAGCUGCUGCGAGAUUAACCUUCUGACCCCAACAAGAGUUUAGACCAGCCUGUCAAAAGCAUUAUGCUUGAAGGCAGUAAUCAUUCUUUAUUAGAAGAACAGUGGCUUUGCCUUGGUUCCUGCUGCCUACCUAUGGAUCGCGUUUCAGUUGCAGGUCCACCUUUAGGAAAUGGCGUCUAGUUUAAUUAUUAACAACUGUGGAUUCCUAAAGGCUAUGCACAGACACUGCUCCAGGCCGGUCUAAUUCACUCUUAAAAAGCAAAAAGCAGCCCAUUGUGAAAAUGUACUGAUCUGGUCUAACAGCGAUUUUUCCUAGGGCUGCUAAGGAGGUGAUAGUAACCUAUUUCAGAGCAGGAGGAAGACGAGGGAUGACAUUUCUACUUCUCAGGAGCUCUGUGGCUGUCCAUAUUAGUAAAGCAAUCUGGAAAGAGCUUGCUGACUACGUACACCUUAGGAGAAGCUAAGCCGAGAUGUACUACAGGAAAUGUCUGAGAUCGUUUGACAAAGUCCUGGUACCAAAAGCUGUGUAUACUAAGAAACACGAAGCAAAACAUUAGACACUUAACUCAGUGAUGUCUUUAUACAUUUUCCAUCACCCUAUAUAUCUGUGAACAACGAGGCCAAAAUGUACUAGGACAGGAUGUCAGUACUGAAGUACUGUGCAGUCUGCAAAUAGAUAUGAAAUUAGGGUGCUUUCAGUUCUCAGUCAGAACUUCUCCAUCCUAAUUGGAGUUAGAUAUUGGUUUGCUAUUACACAACAGAAGUGCAUUGUAAAUAAUGUUUUGAAUACCGCAAAUUUUCCUUUUCCUUUUUCUGUUUUGUUUUGUUUUGUAUCCUUCAAAAUGCUUCUACCAAUCCCUUGUUCAGAACAGAAAGUGGUCUUGCAGACCAGGCACGUUACCGUUGUUUCUCAAUCAAUCUGGGAUGUUGUGAGUUGUCUGAUGCUGAGAUUUUCCAUAAACCCAAGGUGCUGGUAAGGAUUUGGUUAGUCCCUGCAGUCCCUGAUAUGCUCUGAUAUUUUACGAAACUGAAUUUAGACAGCCAUGUAAUAAAUGGAUUUUAGAUGUAACAGCAGCAUUGCUCUCUUUUUGAAGCUAGUGGCAAACCUCCAGUUCCCCACCCAGUAUUCAAUGCCUGAAGAACUCAGCAAAGCUUCAGAGAUGGAAAAAAUGUAUUUUUACUAUUUACGCAGCGUUAGGUCUACAUCAAGUCAUGGUUCUUGGGAGCUGAAGCCUCUAAUCAAUAUGAAAGCCAAAUCUCUUGAGGGCACAGUGCUCAGAGGCACAGAGGCCCAGGUGGGAACAUAUGGGUGAAGGUGAACAAGGCAGGUACAGCUUCUGCCAGGGCCAUCGCAGGGCAAUGAUGGCAGGUGGGACAGCACUGGAAAUAUGGCCGGGAUGGUGCAGGCUGGAGUCAGCCAUAGUGGGAGUCACGCAGCCCAUCCUUUGAAGUCAGGGAACAGUUUCCAAGUGCCAUUUGUGCCCCUGGCUUAGUUUGCAUACAUGGCAUUACAUCACCCAACAAAGCGGCCUUCAGUCAGGCCCCACACAAUGGUGAGGGGUUGGCGGUGCUCCAUGGGGGGUUAAUAGUUGCCCUGGGAACGCCACAUUCCAGCAUCAGCUGCUAAUGUGCAAAGCAUGCUGUUCAGGGCUGGCCAGGAGCAGAGCAUGGGAAAAUUCUUGCAUACUUUAUGAGACAGAAACAAACCUACUUUCAACAGAACAACAGCAACGCGUAAUCCCCCCCACCUCACCCACCCCUCUGCUACCGAAACGCUGCGGACCUUUGUGUGAGGGCUAGGAGGUUUGUGCUUCAGGGUGUUUUGCCAAUAAAAACAAAACAAAACAACAACAACAACAAAAAAAAAAACAGGUUCCAAUCCAAGACUGAAUUUUCCACGUCUUGGGAGAGGAAUGAGCUUAGUGUUGAGCGUCUUAAGCGUAAUUUCACAGUGUAUCCAUACAGCCUUGGCCAGGCCAACGUAUGGGAGUUUAACACCUGAACAAGAGGAGCGCCAGCUGACCUGGCAUCAUGAAGAAGCUGUUUCUCUCCUUCAGUCCUUUCUCUCCUCUUCUGCACUGCCAGCUCAAUGCUCUGAAAAGCAGCACUGCAACAUCGCAUAGUUGCCCCCAGAGCCCCUUCAUGGCAAGGUGCUAUUUCUGCAUGCAACCACUUCUUUUUUUGCGGGAAAAAAGCAAGACCAAAGAAGGCAAAAUGGCAUUGAAGACAGCUUCUGACUGCAAAGUUUAGUAAGUGUGUAUGCAUCUGUGUGUGCAUGCAUAGGAUUCUCAGUCUGUCCCCUCACACAGGCAGAGCUGGCUUCAGCGCAGGCAAAUCUGGAGCACUGAAGUACUACAACCCUCCCUUUUUUGUCUCAGAUAGCAUCCUUAGGAAAAGAUAAUGGGCAGAGUUUGUGCACCUGGUUUGCAGUUGGGGCUGCAAGUGGAGCCUGAUGCUGGCAGUGCUGCAUCUCCGUGCCCCUGGAUGCGGCUGCUGGAAAUGUAUUUGGUGACAGGCCUUCGCCUGCUGGUAAUCCAGUGGAUACUGUGUGUUACUAGAAUGGGAGCACAUGGCAAACUCUUAAAAGGAACAUUGGUUUCAAAUCUCCCAAUCCCAUCUGUGCGAUGGUGGUGCUACAGCUGCAUGCUAUAAAAGCUGCAUGCUGUAAAAAAGACUCUUUUAACUAAAGACUUGAGAGAAGAUUUGCUUUUGUCUCCCCAGCUUGUUUACUCUGUAAAUGUGAUGUUAUGCAUUGUCAGUUCAGCUAUUUCCCCCCCUGCAGUCUUGUUCUGGAGAUGCUUUAUAUCUUGCUUUCACACAGCAUCUGAGGAGAGAAGCUGCUGUGCCGUAUGCCUGUCAAACUCCUACAGUAAAUUAGCAGGCCAGUUCGUAGAUAGAGCACUCAGUGCUACUUUAAACUUACUCUUUUAAUUCCUGUAGCAAGAGGAUGCAAUAUUUUUGAUCUAACAAGAGCUCUGAAGCUGGAUUUACAUUACCAAACUGUGGCCUGGAUUCUUCCUGGGUCUCUGGAUAACCUGAGACACAGCUCUAGUAAGUCCCUUUCACCUGUAGUUUGGUGCCUUUAAACCACAUUGGCUGUGACUGAAUACCACUGCUGUCCCUCUCCUCCUGACACUUCUCUUCAUCCAAUUGCUCCUCAGUUGAGUGGUCUUUGCAGGCUGCCUUCCCCAGGAAGGAAUCAUUCCUGAGCUGUAAGAGCCCAGCCCUGGCUAUGUGCAGUGGUACACAGAUGUUCUACAACAUGCCUGGAAGCAGGCCAGCAAUAUUCGCACAUCACUGGAUUUAACAGUUUCAGAUGUCUCCACAUCACGUUCCCCAUCAUGUCCGAAUCUGUUCCCAUGGGAAGGCAGACACCCCAGACAGAAAGGCCAGGCAGGAUGGAAGGAAAGCCUGUCAUCUGGAACCUUCCUCCCCCAGGCACCUGCAGUGCCCCAAGGACAAGGUCUCAAGGACUGUUCCUCUUCGAGCACAGGCAGAGAGCAGUCUCCAGCUGCCAGUUCUGCUCUCCAUCUCCUUCAGGUAUCUCCGCACCACCAGCUAAGCCACAAUCAGCAAAAAUAUGGUGUCUGUCAAACAAUCAACAUAUGUUUGUAUGAAGCAAAUGGAUUGUCUGGGGAUAUCUGUGUGAAUAUUACAAAAUCUGCUCCUAAACUGAAAAAGAGGGAAACAUACUGAAGAACAUGUUUUCUCCACAAAACAGCUUUCUGACGAGCACUGUUCCCCAGUGAUUGUGACGGCCCACAAGAACUUUCAGCUGUUGGUCCUUCAGGUCACCAUGAGCUUUUUGUCUGUCCGUGGCUGUGAGAACAGCUCCUGCUAUUUGGAAUUGACCAACCUGUGCAGCCUACCCCGGGGCUGAGCUGCUGGCUGCAGCAGAGGAUGGGUUUGUGCUGCAAGGAGCAGUGCUCAGCGGAAGCCCAUCUGGUGCAAGGUUUUCAAGCUGCUUUGCUCAGCCACUUGAGUGUGCCACUCCAUUCCCAGCACUUCUCUGCAUGGAGAGACUGGGCUGGGCAUUGCAGAGAUGUUUUCUUCAUGAGAAGGACUUUCCCGAGACACUGCAGCUGGUGGAAGGGCUGAGUAAAGGUGGUAAUGCCACUAGUUCUGGGAGACGUAUUGCUUCACUCUGUCAGUGAGUGUAAAUCCACCACUGCUAUGAACAUUGCACAAGCACAUCCCUUCUUGGAAAAUAAAAGUCCGUCUUUAU
ensembl:lncRNA